rnacentral:sRNA from 1 species
ACUGCUAAUGUGGCAUCUGGACAAGUCUCAGCAGCGCUGACCCUCCGUAAGCGUUGCCUCGUGUAGUAGCUGCCAGUUAUUGAGCGCUUUGGGGGUUUUUUUUCUUUACAGAGUCUGUCUCAUGGGAGAUGAGGUAGGGACAGUCGUUUCUGAGACCGAUGUGUAAAGCGCCCUCCCUGCUUCCCAGCAAAUUGUGGCUACUAAUUUGCCCCCUGAAGAUCAAGAUGGCUCUGGGGAUGACUCUGACAACUUCUCCGGCUCAGGUGCAGGUGCUUUGCAAGAUAUCACCUUGUCACAGCAGACCCCCUCCACUUGGAAGGACACGCGGCUCCUGACGGCUAUUCCCACGUCUCCAGAACCCACCGGCCUGGAGGCUACAGCUGCCUCCACCUCCACCCUGCCGGCUGGAGAGGGGCCCAAGGAGGGAGAGGCUGUAGUCCUGCUAGAAGUGGAGCCUGGCCUCACCGCCCGGGAGCAGGAGGCCACCCCCCGACCCAGGGAGACCACACAGCUCCCGACCACUCAUCAGGCCUCAACGACCACAGCCACCACGGCCCAG